AAUGAAGUGUCUGAUAAAAGAAUUAUUUUGAUAGAAUAAAGAAUGUAAAAAUUUUUACCUUCGUUA
rnacentral:tRNA from 1 species